CCGAGUGAGGGCCCUCGGGCUCGACCUCCAACCCUUUGUGAACACAUCUUGUUGCUUCGGGGGCGACCCUGCCGUUCCGACGGCGAGCGCCCCCGGAGGCCUUCAAACACUGCAUCUUUGCGUUGGAGUUUAAGUAAAUUUAAACA
rnacentral:misc_RNA from 1 species